rnacentral:lncRNA from 1 species
ACUUCGCUAGCAUCACGUUGUUAUUGCCGAGUGCGUUCAAAUACAAUGUGGAUCAGAUUGUGUCGAUUAAGAGAUGUUGAGUGUCUGAAGCUCUUCCCACAGUGAGUACAUGUGUACGGUUUCUCUCCUGUGUGAAUCAUCUGGUGUGCUUUCAAUGGUUGUAUCCGACUGAAUGUCUUGUUGCAGUGUGAACACACGUAGGGUUUCUCUCCGGUGUGAAUCCUCUGGUGCUGUUUCAAUUCUGGAGCUCUAAUAAACGUCUUCUUACACGCAAAGCACACAAACUCUUUCACACCAGUGUGGAUCUUCUCAUGUAGUUUCAGACCUGACUGCUGUGUAAAGCUCUUCCCACACUCAGAACAUGAAUACGGCUUUUCUUUUGUAUGAACUCGAAGAUGCUUCGUCAGCUCUGAAGGCCUCAAAAACGUUUUGUUGCACUGAUCACAUCUGUGAGGUUUCUCUCCGGUGUGGAUCCUCAUGUGAAGGUUGAGAGUGUAUUUGCAGCUUAAACUCUUUCCACACUGAGUGCAGGUGAAAUCAUUUUCAGCUGUUGUUGUUUUUAAUAAAAAAGUUUCAGUUUCACUUUUGACAUGAUGUUUCUCCUCAUCGUCACUCAGUUCUUCACUCUCCUCCUUCACAAUCACAUCUGAAAUGAAUUAAAUACAUUACAUUUUAAGAAGCUAGUUUUUAACAACACAUGCUGCUCUGGGCUAGUUUUUAGAGAAUUUGUCUGAUUGGCUGAAAUGUGUAAUUGGUUAAAUAAAUUUGCACCCUGUAUGAUACAUUUAAGGCUGUACUCACACUAGGCACCUUUGCCUUGAACUGAGCCUAGGCGUAAAUAUUUCCCCCUUCCAGACAACCCACACUAAUAUUAAUAAUAAUAAUAACACAUUUUAUUUAAAGCGCCUUUCAAGAAACCCAAGGUCAAUUAUUAUAUCUAUUUCAAACACUUCCAGUAGAAAUAUCAAAUCAUCAAUUUAGCGAAUGGAUUAAAUUAAUAUCUUGACUUUUAUGGCAAAAAAAGAACCCAAACACUGCAGUUAAAGGGUCACAAAACACAUUUUUGAGCUGUUGACAGUCGUAUAAGUACAGACAGGACAAUCAACACCUACUGGAGCUGCGUCUUUUUUUAAAGGAGACGAGCAGCAAAUCCGGAUUCCACCAUUACCAGAUGAGAAAAGCUCUCGGGUAAAAAAUGUUCCGUACAAAUGGAUUUCUGCCGCACUGAUACACACGUGAGUUCAGCAGCGCUCGGUUUUUCAAAAGUAACCCACUAGGAUUUUGGAUAAGGGAUUGGAUCAAAUCUUGAAAAUGGG